UGGGGAAUAUUGCACAAUGGGGGAAACCCUGAUGCAGCAACGCCGCGUGCGGGAUGACGGCCUUCGGGUUGUAAACCGCUUUCAGCAGGGGCGAAUUCAGACGGUACCUGCAGAAGAAGCACCGGCUAACUACGUGCCAGCAGCCGCGGUGAUACGUAGGGUGCGAGCGUUGUCCGGAUUUAUUGGGCGUAAAGAGCUCGUAGGUGGUUUGUUGCGUCGGAAGUGAAAACCCAGGGCUUAACUUUGGGCUUGCUUUCGAUACGGGCAGACUUGAGGAAGGUAGGGGAGAACGGAAUUCCUGGUGGAGCGGUGGAAUGCACAGAUAUCAGGAGGAACACCGGUGGCGAAGGCGGUUCUCUGGACCUUUCCUGACGCUGAGGAGCGAAAGCGUGGGGAGCAAACAGG
rnacentral:rRNA from 1 species